rnacentral:rRNA from 1 species
GACGAACGCUGGCGGCGUGCUUAACACAUGCAAGUCGAACGUUGAAGCCCUUCGGGGUGGAUCAGUGGCGAACGGGUGAGUAACACGUGAGCAACCUGCCCCUGGCUCUGGGACAACCACUGGAAACGGUGGCUAAUACCGGAUACGACCCGCCUCGGCAUCGAGUGUGGGUGGAAAGUUUUUCGGCUGGGGAUGGGCUCGCGGCCUAUCAGCUUGUUGGUGAGGUGAAGGCUCACCAAGGCGACGACGGGUAGCCGGCCUGAGAGGGCGACCGGCCACACUGGGACUGAGACACGGCCCAGACUCCUACGGGAGGCAGCAGUGGGGAAUAUUGCACAAUGGGCGAAAGCCUGAUGCAGCGACGCCGCGUGAGGGAUGACGGCCUUCGGGUUGUAAACCUCUUUCAGCUCCGAAGAAGCGAAAGUGACGGUAGGAGCAGAAGAAGCACCGGCUAACUACGUG